CUUUCAUCCUCAGGAUGGGAAGUCCUCACAGAGUUCAGUUUUCCCUGGGGCUUGUGAUCACUGUCUCCUUGGUGACAUGCAAUCUGGGAGUGCUUUCUGGAGUCUGAUAAGAACAUACUGGCACAUUGCCUGUGACGUGUGGGACCCAGGCAUUUUCAGUGCUGAGACAGGACUGUGGAAAUGUACACUUGGAUUCUUUCACAGGUAAUGCUGAGAAAUUUAAAACCAAAAACGGCCGGGUGCCGUGGCUCCUGCCUGUAAUUCUAGCACUUUGGGAGGCUGAGGCGGGCGGAUCACAAGGUCAGGAGUUCGAGAGCAGCCUGGCCAAUAUGGUGAAACCCCAUCUCCACUAAAAAUACAAAAAUUAGCCUGGCAUAGUGGCGGGCCCCUGAAGUCCCAGCUACUCAGGAGACUGAGUAGACGAGGAGAAUGGCUUGAACAUGGGGUGCAGAGGUUGCAGUGAGCUGAGAUCGCACCGCUGCACUCCAGCCUGGGCAACAAGAGUGAAACUCUGUCUCAAAAAAAAAAAAAAA
rnacentral:lncRNA from 1 species